rnacentral:rRNA from 1 species
UACGGGGGGGGCAAGCGUUGUUCGGAAUUACUGGGCGCAAAGGGCUCGUAGGCGGCCAACUAAGUCGGAUGUGAAAUCCCCAGGCUUAACCUGGGAACUGCAUCCGAUACUGGAUGGCUUGAAUCCGGGAGAGGGAUGCAGAAUUCCAGGUGUAGCGGUGAAAUGCGUAGAUAUCUGGAGGAAUACCGGUGGCGAAGGCGGCAUCCUGGACCGGCAUUGACGCUGAGUGAGCGAAAGCCAGGGGAGCAAACGGG